rnacentral:rRNA from 1 species
UGGGGAAUUUUGCAGCAAUAGGCGAGAGCCUCCGGAGCAUUCCCGCGUAAGGGAGAAAGACCUGUCAGUUGUAAACCUCUUUUCUCAGGGAAGAAGAUCAGACGGUACCUGAGGAAUCAGCAUCGGCUAACUCCGUGCCAGCAGCCGCGGUAAGACGGAGGAUGCAAGCGUUAUCCGGAAUUAUUGGGCGUAAAGCGUCCGUAGGCGGUUUAUAAAGUCAGUUGUUAAAGCCCUCAGCUCAACUGUGUAUGGGCAAUGGAAGCUACUGGCCUAGAGAGUGGUAGGGCCGAGGGCCCUCCUAGUGUAGCGGUGAUAUGGGUAGAUAUUAGGAAGUUCCCCAGUGGCGAGGCGCGCGC